UACGUAGGGUGCAAGCGUUAAUCGGAAUUACUGGGCGUAAAGCGUGCGCAGGCGGUUUUGUAAGCCAGAUGUGAAAGCCCGGGGCUCAACUCCGGAAUUGCCUUUAAGACUGCAUCGCUAGAAUUGUGGAGAGGUAAGUGGAAUUCCGAGUGUAGAGGUGAAAUUCGUAGAUAUUCGGAAGAACACCAGUGGCGAAGGCGACUUACUGGACACAUAUUGACGCUGAGGUGCGAAAGCGUGGGGAGCAAACAGG
rnacentral:rRNA from 1 species